CUGGCUUUCCUACUGCAGUCACAGAGUCUUAAGGACCGGAAGGCGCAGCGGGGAACACAGGGGCCUGGCUGCCCAGGACGAGGUGCCGCACUAGGCGCCCCCGAGAUCUGGGUGGGGCAGCGGUAUCCAGGGAGCGCUGGCUGGGGUAGGAAGGCUCACAGCCUCUGGGAGUUCGCGGCCCAGUGUGCUCCAGCCCCAGAGCCAGCGCGGCGAACUCAGUGAGAUGCGGUGUAUUGAGAAGAUCCUAAAGGCCACGAGGUGCUUGGCACAUUCCAAGACGCGGCUCAGCGCCAUCCUACUGUCACAUUCCACUUGCUUUUCUCGCCAUCAAUGGUCCGGAGCCACAAGCAGGUGUGGGAUACAGUACCUCUGCUCCAAGUGGCUUGGACCCCCUCGCGGCCAAUUCGGACGAACGAACCGCGGCUAGAGAGGGCCAGGACCCAGGGCAUCUGCAAGCCAGAAAAAGGCGCGCUGCACACCGCCCCCACGACCCGGCAGGAAGCCAGCUUGAUUUUCCAGAAGCAUCAAGAGACUGAAAAUCCGCACUGCACCAUGGAAUAAGGCCCACAUUUCCUCAGUCACUUAGCAUAAAAAUGAAGAAGUUCUGGCUGGACAGACGACUCAGUGGGUAAAGGUGUUUGCUGUGGAACGUGGUGGAAGGAGAGAACCAUCCCCUACAAGCUGUUCUCUGCAGUGUGGCAGGUACACACUCAUUUCCCCAACAAGUGCGGACCACAGGUCUGUUAUAAUCGUUUGGAAACAGGUCCUUCCUGAGAUUGCUUUGGAAUUGGAAGUGGAACAUUGAGGGAAAUAGGCUCCAGUUGACUGUAUGCAUGGCCACAGUCCAGCAAGCUCGCCUUCCUUUUGGGGAGUCUACAAAGUGGCUGUCCUGGUAUUAUAUUGCAGAGUGGUACCCAGCUGACCUUACUUCUCAUCCCUGACUGGAAGGUGUCAGUCCAGGCGGUCCAGAUCCACCUUCACUGCUCUCCACCUAGUGCUCUCCUCAGGCCAUCUGACUAGCUCCUGUCUCUCAGUAAGACCUCCGCUGUCUCUUCUUCAUACCUAGCAGGUUAGCUCUUUUCAUCCAAGCAACUAGGUAACAUAGUCGAGACCUGGACCAACUACAUCAACUGCUCUUUGCACAAGAGCACGUGGAAGCUGGAAACAGGAUUCCACUUGCAGCCAUUCUCUCUUCCCCUAGGCUCUGGCCAAUGGGACUGCGGCCUGCAGCAGUCCUUCACCAGCUUGGCAUCUAGUGUGGAAAAACUGGCUUUAUUAAAAUUAUAUAGACCUGUCGUCAUUUUACACACAUAUGUCUGUGGUUUCACUUUCUGUGUUUUGUUAGCUACAGUAAGUUGUAGACCAGAAAUAUCAAAUGGAAGAUUCCAGAAAUAAAAACACAUGCCAUCCUAUACUGUACUGUCUUCCUUAGGGUUCAGCCCUCCGUCCAGUGUAUCCAAGCUGUAUACACUACACUCCAGCAGCCACUUAGCUAUUUCAGUUUAUGGAUGAGGAGACCGGACUGCUAUGAAAUAAAUGAAAACUUGCAAACGGAUAAGCACUGGAUCCUUGGUUAACACACGCUCUCACCACACACAUUUCCCAGGGAAGAUCUUUGCUUUAAUCGUACUUUCCAACCAGCACCAGGUGAGUGGUGUGGAGCUCCGAGGAAGGCCAGGGGCUCCUUGGCCUCCACUGGAUCCUGCAAGUCCCUCCUCACUGUACAAUAACAGCUGUUAUUGGAGAAAUAACUCAAUAGUCACAGCUGUCAGUGAAUAAAACAACUCUC